ensembl:lncRNA
GUUACUACACUCAGGUUACUACACUCAGAUUACUACACUCAGGUUACUACACUCGGAUUACUACACUCGGAUUACUACACUCAGAUUACUACACUCAGAUUACUACACUCAGGUUACUACACUCAGGUUACUACACUCAGGUUACUACACUCAGAUUACUACACUCAGGUUACUACACUCAGAUUACUACACUCAGAUUACUACACUCGGGUUACUACACUCAGAUUACUACACUCGGGUUACUACACUCGGGUUACUACACUCGGGUUAGUACACUCGGGUUACUACACUCGGGUUACUACACUCGGGUUACUACACUCGGGUUAGUACACUCGGGUUACUACACUCGGGUUACUACACUCGGGUUAGUACACUCGGGUUAGUACACUCGGGUUAGUACACUCGGGUUACUACACUCGGAUUACUACACUCAGAUUACUAC